AAAAAUUCAUCUUCAUCAGGGAAUAGAAUAUACACACACAGGGAGCUGAGAGAAAAAAUCCACGGAAGACAACACUCCCACAGCUGUAGACGCACACACACAUAGACGAUAAUACACACACAGCUCACAAUUCAUCUCCUUUGUACAAAAACACGCAAAAAUAUACCACAGUGAGAAAUAGAGGAAGAUUGAGAGAGAAGAGAGGAACAGAGAGAGCUACAAGAGAGUGAGAGAUUUGCGAGAGAGGGAGAGAUCCAAGAUUUAGAAUAGAGGAAGAGAUAGAGGUCACGUUUUGGUUACUGCUCCGGCAACUGUGUCACCGGAAAAACAUCAAAAGCAUCCCGAAAUUCACCGGAAUUCAUUUCUCGCGGUUGAACUCGCUCGAUUUGACUCAAUCCUGCGAAUUUUGUAUACUGGUUUGGGUAUUGGUCAUGAUUUCAGGUUUGGCGUCUUGAUCUUCAUAUUGUUUCUGGGAAUUUAGAUUCGGAAUCUGGGAAUUUGAUUCGAGUUGGAUUUUGUGUCAUGUCGAGGUUCGAAUUGAGGUUUUUCGGGUGCGGUAUUAUCUCCAAUAUAUUAAAAUCGACACUUGAGGUUCAAUUUUUUUUACUCCCUCUUUUCGUUUCAUUUUGAUUUGGUGCAUUGCUGUUAUGAUUGUGUGGUGUUGGUUUGUGAUUGGAUGAUCUCGUUGAUGAUUGUUUUGUAUGAAAAUUGACGUAUAAGAAGAAAUUCGGGGCGGAAUUGAGAAAUCGAUAAAAAGGUGAAUUUGGAUGAAUUAAGAUUCAUUGAUUUUGGUUUAAUUUGGUAAUAGCAUGAUAAAUCGGAAGUAAUAGAAAAACGUAGGUUGGGUAGGCAAAUUUAAGAUGUGUGAUUGUUGAAUGAUGAAAUGUGUGUAGAAUGGUUUUAAUUUAUGCAUUGGGAUCUAUUGUAUUUAUGUAGCCGGGGAAUGCCCCGAGAAAUUUGUAUUGAUUUAUCCGGGGAAUGCCCCGAAGUACCAUGUACUUGAAGACGACGCACGAUCAAGGCCCGAAACAUCGGGUGGAGAAAGCAAUGGAGUGUAGUUUAGAAUUAGCAUAGAAUAGAGUAGGUUUAUAGUUUUGCAUUUUUUUAUUUCGGGAUUGUAAUAAUCGGACUG
rnacentral:lncRNA from 1 species